rnacentral:rRNA from 1 species
CAACGCUGGCGGCGCGCCUAACACAUGCAAGUCGCACGAGAAAGCCGCAAGGUGAGUAAAGUGGCAGACGGGUGAGUAACACGUGGAUCAUCUACCUUGGCGGGGAAUAACCCUGGGAAACCGGGGCUAAUACCGCAUAAGUCCGAGAGGAGAAAGCCGAAAGGCACCGAAGGAAGAGUCCGCGGCCGAUUAGCUAGUUGGCGGGGUAAUGGCCCACCAAGGCGAAGAUCGGUAGCCGGCCUGAGAGGGCACACGGCCACACUGGCACUGAGAUACGGGCCAGACUCCUACGGGAGGCAGCAGUGGGGAAUCUUGCACAAUGGGGGAAACCCUGAUGCAGCGACGCCGCGUGAGUGAUGAAGUCCUUCGGGAUGUAAAGCUCUUUCGACAGGAACGAUAAUGACGGUACCUGGAGAAGAAGCUGCGGCUAACUACGUGCCAGCAGCCGCGGUAAUACGUAGGCAGC